rnacentral:rRNA from 1 species
UACGUAGGGUGCGAGCGUUAAUCGGAAUUACUGGGCGUAAAGCGUGCGCAGGCGGUUUUGUAAGCCAGAUGUGAAAUCCCCGGGCUCAACCUGGGAAUGGCAUUUGGGACUGCAAGGCUGGAGUACGGCAGAGGAGACUGGAAUUCCUGGUGUAGCAGUGAAAUGCGUAGAUACUGGGAGGAACACCGAUGGCGAAGGCAGCCCCCUGGGCUGACACUGACGCUCAGGCACGAAAGCGUGGGGAGCAAACAGG